rnacentral:rRNA from 1 species
CAGACGACGCUGGCGGCGUGCCUAACACAUGCAAGUCGAGCGCGAAUGGGAGCAAUACCCUAGUAGAGCGGCGCACGGGUGCGUAACACGUGGGUAAUCUCCUGAAGCCCGGGACAACCUUCCGAAAGGAUGGCUAAUACCGGAUAAGCCUACGGGAUCCUCGGAUCCUGAAGGAAAAGGUGGCCUCUGUAUACAAGCUAUCACUCCAGAUGAGCCGCGGCCCAUCAGCUAGUUGGCGGGGGUACAGGCCCACCAAGGCAACGACGGGUAGCUGGUCUGAGAGGACGAUCAGCCACACUGGAACUGAGACACGGUCCAGACUCCUACGGGAGGCAGCAGUGGGGAAUUUUGCGCAAUGGCGAAAGCCUGACGCAGCAACGCCGCGUGUGUGAUGAAGGUCUUCGGAUUGUAAAGCACUUUCGACCGGGACGAAAACCCUCAACCUAACAUGUUGAGGCUUGACGGUACCGGGAGAAGAAGCACCGGCUAACUCUGUGCCAGCAGCCGCGGUAA